rnacentral:rRNA from 2 species
CGUUACCCGGGUUGCGGACAGUGUCUGGUGGGUAGUUUGACUGGGGCGGUCUCCUCCUAAAGAGUAACGGAGGAGCACGAAGGUUGGCUAAUCCUGGUCGGACAUCAGGAGGUUAGUGCAAUGGCAUAAGCCAGCUUGACUGCGAGCGUGACGGCGCGAGCAGGUGCGAAAGCAGGUCAUAGUGAUCCGGUGGUUCUGAAUGGAAGGGCCAUCGCUCAACGGAUAAAAGGUACUCCGGGGAUAACAGGCUGAUACCGCCCAAGAGUUCAUAUCGACGGCGGUGUUUGGCACCUCGAUGUCGGCUCAUCACAUCCUGGGGCUGAAGUAGGUCCCAAGGGUAUGGCUGUUCGCCAUUUAAAGUGGUACGCGAGCUGGGUUUAGAACGUCGUGAGACAGUUCGGUCCCUAUCUGCCGUGGGCGCUGGAGAACUGAGGGGGGCUGCUCCUAGUACGAGAGGACCGGAGUGGACGCAUCACUGGUGUUCGGGUUGUCAUGCCAAUGGCACUGCCCGGUAGCUAAAUGCGGAAGAGAUAAGUGCUGAAAGCAUCUAAGCACGAAACUUGCCCCGA